CCUACGGGAGGCAGCAGUGAGGAAUAUUGGUCAAUGGACGCAAGUCUGAACCAGCCAUGCCGCGUGCAGGAAGACGGCUCUAUGAGUUGUAAACUGCUUUUGUACGAGGGUAAACGCAGAUACGCGUAUCUGUCUGAAAGUAUCGUACGAAUAAGGAUCGGCUAACUCCGUGCCAGCAGCCGCGGUAAUACGGAGGAUUCAAGCGUUAUCCGGAUUUAUUGGGUGUAAAGGGUGCGUAGGCGGUCGGAUAAGUUAGAGGUGAAAUCCCGAGGCUCAACUUCGGAAUUGCCUCUGAUACUGGUCGGCGAGAGAGUAGUGGCGGUAGGCGGAAUGUAUGGUGUAGCGGUGAAAUGCUUAGAGAUCAGACAGAACACCGAUUGCGAAGGCAGCUUACCAAGCUACUUCUGACGUUGAGGCACGAAAGCGUGGGGAGCAAACAGGAUUAGAUACCCCAGUAGUC
rnacentral:rRNA from 1 species